UAGUUGAUCAAGGAGUACCUUCCAGAGGAGGAGCUCGCAGACCUGAGGAAUGAGAAGGUCUGGGCACAGCCUGAGAUGGGAAUAAACUUGGUAUCUGCAAGGAAUGCAAAAGAGACCAGGGGCUGGAGCAUUGUGAAUGAGGGAGAGGGUUCUAGGAGGAAUGUUGGGCCCUCCCACAGGAGCUUUGUAGGUCAGGAAAGAAGAGUAGAUCUACUCUAGAAGUGAAAGCCAUAGGAGAGGUGAAAGCAAAAGAGUAAUGUCAUCUGUCUUUAAAAGUCUGCUCCAAUGACUGUGUGGGAAGAAGGACAAGAGAGCAAGUGGAGGGCCCAGAGAGGCCUAGCACUGGGCAUGUCCUGUCCCUCCAGGAAGAGUGAGGCGUGGCUUUGGCUUUUAGGAAAGUCUGUUUGAGUUGAUUCUCAAAGAAUAGUCCAGUCAGUCACGAGCGAGCGAGCAGGAGGGUGCAAGACUGCAGAAGCAGAGCAAUGCCGAAAUCAAAGGAACUUGUUUCUUCAAGCUCUUCUGGCAGUGAUUCAGACAGUGAAGUUGACAAAAGUUAAAGAGGAAAAAGCAAGUUGCUCCAGAAAAACCUGUGAAGAAGCAAAAGACUGGUGAAACUUCAAGAGCUCUGUCAUCUUCCAAACAGAGCAGCAGCAGCAGCAGAGAUGAUAACAUGUUUCAGAUUGGGAAAAUGAGGUACGUUAGUGUUCAGGACUUUAAAGGGAAAGUUCUUAUUGAUAUUAGAGAAUAUUGGAUGGAUCCAGAAGGUGAAAUGAAACCAGGAAGGAAAGCUAUUUCUUUAAAUCCGGAGCAGUGGAGCCAGCGGAAGGAACAGAUUUCUGACAUUGUGAUACAGUAAGAAAACUGUAAAAUCCGAGCCAUACAAAACCUGUACUGUUCUAGUUGUUUUAAUCUGUCUUUUUACAUUGGCUUUGUUUUCUAAAUGUGCUCCAAGCUAUUGUAUGUUUGGAUUGCAGAACAAUUUGUAAGAUGAAUACUUUUUUUAAAUGUGCAUUAUUAAAAAUGUUCAGAGUGAAACUAAUUGUCAACUUUAUUAAGGAGAAUUGCUUUGUGCCCACAACCCAUGUAAAAUAAUAAAAUGUAAAACUACAAAAAAAAAA